UCCAUAUGCCAUGGGUGUGGCCCUAAAAGACACACACACACACACACACACACGAAACACUGGUUGCAAGAGAUAGAUUUGAUUUUUGUUGUAACAGAGAGCAAGAGCUUCUUUUUAUUCCCAGAGAUGAAUACAAUUCAUUUGGCCUCUUCUGUAUACACAUAGCAUUAGUCACCUCAGGUCCACUGCCAGCAUUUCUGAGUCGACUCCAUUCCGGACUGUGGGGACGAUGAGCAAUGCAGCCUUUCCCUCUUGUUACCAUUGUCUUCCAUCUGUGGCACUUUCUGUCACUUAGUUUCCAAUUUGCUUGAAAUAGUUUUAUUUACUCUAAAGUAGGAUGGUGCUUAUGUUGCCCAUGCCGGCUCUGCAGCUCCAUCAUCCCAGAAGAUGCUGUCAGCACAGUAUUAGAGAAUAAAAAGCUAACAGGUGGAAUCGGGAAAAGCCAGCAGCAUGCACAGAUGGCAGUGGGAAAAAAAUUUAACUUUAUUCUGCUUCAGGCAUUCUUUGUAUUUCCAUACUUUUGCUAAUGUGGCACAAAGAUACUAUCUAUACUCGUGGGAGAGGCACGAGUAGAAUUUGAUUUUAGUGAUUUGGUUCCAGCAUUUGUUUUAUCCUCCCAUGAAAUCUGUUACCUGCUUUGCUAAGAAAUAACACAAUAGGUUUAAAGCUCUGCAGACUGGUCCAAAGGCUCAGUUCAGUUCAUGUUUAUUGCCUCCUUAUUGUGUAUAUAACACUGUGGUUAUAAAGAUGAUAACAGCGUAGUUCCUCUUAGGUUAGCCAAGAGAGACAAAGGCAAAGGAAGCCUGGGCUCAGAUUGAGACACUGCCUAUGCUUCAUAAUAUUUUUGGAAGAAAUGAAUCAAGUGCUAGAUUUCUUGAUCAGUACCAACAAUCCAUUUUGGCAAGAGGUGGAGAUGGAAGGCCAAAUGGGUGCUUUACAAGGAUUCACCGGUGUGAUUUUCCCAGCCAGCCUAUGAAGUAGCUGCCAUUACAUCUUAAAUUUACAGAUGAUGAAACUGAGCCCCAGAGAAGUUAAACAACCUGCGCCAGGUGACAGAGCUAAUAAAUGGCUGGAAAAAAAAAGUCCUGUGAUUUGUACAGCUGUGACCGAGAGGAGCCAACUGACACUUGAAGGCAAAGGGAGAUGGAAAAUGAAAGAAUAAAUGAGUGGAAAAUUCCACCACUGAGAAUCCCAUACUCUCUCAAGGACAAGAUUGUUACUCGAGAAGGCUCUGUUGAAUUUUUGGCAUUCUUGUGUUAUCUCGCUUUGAAGAUGGAAUGUAAACCGUGGUUUGCAGCCAGGAUCACUGUUCUCUGAAGUGGACUCAGAUUUGCUGGAACUCUUUGACUCGGAUCCUUGACCAAGACUUAGCAAGUGGCAAGUGUUCAAUGUGGCUUUGACAGCCUCAUCAAUACCGGGCUUCGGUCAGCCACGAGAAAUCCAGCAGAGUUGCCGAGCAAGGUGAACACUGUCUUUGAUGCAGAAAAUACCUGGAAAUUCCUAGAGAAGGCUGUCUUUUUCCUCACCAGUAAAUCAAGGCAGAAGUGGACUAGAAGAAUUCUAUGAAGGAAGACACAUCCUGCUAAAGCCAGAGGUGCUUGCUGUCCAUCCCAACCUCAUUUGGAAUAUUUCUGUGGCUCAGAUUCAGUGAACUCCAAACACGUGGACCAGUGCUCCUGUGGCCAUCACACUACGUCAAGGGUGAAGUCUGUUAAAACAAAUGAAGGGAUUGUUACCCAGCAUCUUGUCGAGCAAGUAUGAUAAUCGGAAAAAAGAGGAGGUUGUUGAAGAAGUGUUCAGAAGAGAGUGGGACUUUGAAAAUGGAAGAUGGAUAAACUGCAAGAUGAUUCAUUACCAGCUAGAAAAAUAACCAACAUCCAGGACAGCAAUUCAGAGAGGAAGUUACGGAAAGAAUGGGCAUAAGAAGUUUGGAGUCACUGUGAUUAAAGGGGUCUUCCUGAGUGACAAGAGACCUUGUGCUCCAGACCGAAUGUUUUGCAGAGCCCUUGAUUGCUCCAGUUUUCUCAGACUCUGCUGAAGAAGUUCUGGCAUCUCUACCUCAUUUUACAGGCAAAGAAGACUCUUAAGCAGUGAGACACAGGGACUUGAAGAGGAAGUUACCAAUAUGCAUGGAAAUUGUCCCCUAAAGUGACCUCCCAGAAAAAAGGCACAGGAAUGGGAUACUGACGGUGUCUGCCACAGGUGCAAGAGAACAGCAGCCAUUUGGACUACUUACAAACAUUUGUGAAGAUCUUUAUAAGUACAGCCAGAAUGCUUUCCAGAUAAGAUCCUGGGUCUAGUCCAAGCUUUAUGACUUGGCUUCUACGGGGCUCAAGUUGUUUUGUCUGUCAGAAGAGGCAGCUAGACUAGACAACCUAUAAGGUAGGCUUUAGCACUAACUUUUCUGAUCCUAAGAAUAACUUCCAGUGUCACCUGGCGAGGUGCGGGGUGGGGGCUGGGGAGGUGACCAGCUGGAGCCCAGCUGGGCUACUAGGAAUUCUGUGAGCCUGAGAGGGACUGAGAUUUUGACCUCCCAUCACUGGCUCCCUGUCCUCUGUUUACGGAGGUAUCCACUUGAGUUGACCAAGUAAAAGCUUGUCUGAC